rnacentral:rRNA from 1 species
AUUUAUCGGAGAGUUUGAUCCUGGCUCAGGACGAACGCUGGCGGCGUGCCUAAUACAUGCAAGUCGAGCGGACAGRUGGGAGCUUGCUCCCUGAUGUUAGCGGCGGACGGGUGAGUAACACGUGGGUAACCUGCCUGUAAGACUGGGAUAACUCCGGGAAACCGGGGCUAAUACCGGAUGGUUGUUUGAACCGCAUGGUUCAAACAUAAAAGGUGGCUUCGGCUACCACUUACAGAUGGACCCGCGGCGCAUUAGCUAGUUGGUGAGGUAACGGCUCACCAAGGCRACGAUGCGUAGCCGACCUGAGAGGGUGAUCGGCCACAC